rnacentral:tRNA from 1 species
AUUAGGGUGGCAGAGCCAGGUAAACUGCACAGGUCCUAAGCCCCUGCAACCAGAAGUUCAAAUCCUCUCCCUAAUA